ensembl:lncRNA
CCAAAGUUUUGUUAAUUUGAAAGCUGAAAACAUUAUCUUUAUAUUCGUCCUUUGUGUCUUCCUAUAUCUAAUUCUGUUACCUUGUUUUUGUUGUUGUUACCCCUUAACAAAUCUGUAUAUUCGUUUUUUUUUUUUGGUCUUUAUUUAUGAUUUUAAUUGUACUGCCUUAAUGUUUUUAUUGUUUAUUGCAAUGUUUGUCCUGUUUAAUAAAUAAAAAAGGGGGAUUUGGUUAAAUGAUUCAGACGAUUCAUUAAUGCGAUUCGACUCAAACGAACGAUUCGCUUACGAAUCGGACAUUGCCAAGAGCGAGCGAGAGAGAGAGAGCAAGAGCAAGAGCAAGAGCAAGAGGAGGGGUAGAAGCACAUGAAAAACUGCGUAACCCACUGCUGGUUGAGAUAGACGGGGCAGAAAGGUUGCCUUUCUGGGUCGUAGGCGCUUUGCUGGAGCUUUGCUGUACUUUUAUGCGAAACGACAGCGGAUUUAGAAGACCUGCCGAGAACAAAUCGCAGUAUGAUGCUGGCUUUACCAGAAUGCUUUUGCACAAAGAUCAGGCUGUGCCAGCUGUUCUGGACACAACAACCACGCCACAAACUGUAAGUAACGUAUUUCAUGUAAAAACUAUUUUUAAAACGGUAACGAUGGUAAUGGAUAUUAGUCAAUCAUAAAAGUGGGUGGUUGCACUGACCUCUCAAAGGGAAAACACCCCAAAACCAACUGUUUCAGUCAGAGGAUGAGAAACAGGGUUGAAAAAGGUAAUAAAUCACUCAAUUUUGAAUGUUUUUCAUCCAAAAAACUUUAGUAAUAUUAUAAUUACACCUCAGGAAACAUAAUAAAAUAAUUUUAAAAAAUGUCAUGACCCCUUUAAUGAAUCAAAAGUCAGAGAGAUUGAGGAAAUGAAAGUAAGGGAAAUUUAGUGAGUGAUAGAGCUGUUUCCUCAAUUCUUGUUCAUUCAGAAACUAGUACUGUCAUCGAUUUGUGCAGUUUUAGAACAGCUUUACAUUGGAACGUACUCUGUGUUGUAUGUGCAAAUUUAUUUGAAGGACAUAGACUAGACUGUAAUCGCUUAAAAUCUCUGAGCACUAAAACAGCUAAACUGAAUCUUUACCAUUGACCACUGCUAGAGUGUGUUCUACUUUUUGUUUCCUCUAAAUCUAUAUUUAACAGGCUCUUUUAUGCACUUUCACUUUCUGUUUGCAUUCUCUCUGUUCAUCUUUACUGGCGUCUUCCUCUUCCAGUGUUUGUGUCUGUUACUGGGGUUUACACAUUAUCUGUUUUUGGAGUUUCUCACGAGCUGCUAACUGACCUUGACUGCCAUCCGCCCUUUCAGCGCUCAGCUUGCUCUGUGCUCUGGUAGACAGAAAGAUAAAUGAGCAUCAGGUGAGAAAGAGAGAAACUGCUGUGAUUAAUGUAAGCCUGUUAGGAGUCACUUCCAAAGAGGUGGUGGUUAUUGUAAAAGAGGAAAGACUUUGAUCUUCAGUUCUAAUGCUAAUGCCAUUUGCUCUGGUGUUGUGUUUUUCUCAUGUUUUUGGAGAUGCAAAUGUGGAUCCAUGCUGUCAUCAACAAAUUUUUUGACCCACUGUAUCAGAAAUGGCCAUACACUCCUAAAAUUAAAUGUUCUUUAAUUUCCAUAUAUAAUAUGAUGAAGAACUUUUAGCAUCCAAGAAAAAAUAGUGAAAAAAAAACUUAACUGAAAGGUUCUUUGGGGAACCAAUGCUUCUUUUAUGGAUUCGCUUAGAAAACCCCCUUUUGGAACCUUUGUUUAGCAAAGAGUGUAAAUUAUUGGGGAAAAAAGUUAGAAAAGUAAAACAAACAAACAAAAAAAAAUUAGUUUGGUGCAUCAAAAAUGAUCGAAUGUAAUUUUGGGCUGAUAUGAGAAGAACCACAGAUGAUGACCAAAGCACGUAAUUGUUAUUAUUACAUGUUAUUAUACAAACUCUUCUAUGAUUGUGUGGUUGGAGAGCAAGGCAAUCACCUGAAUUUCACCUAAAUGUCUCUGAGGAAAAGAAGGUUUUGGCCUAAUAUCUGAGAUGAUGGAAGCAACAGAUAUUGUCUGCAAUACUAAACCGUUUAUAAAGCACAAGCUUAAAGAUCCAAUACAAGUCCUGAAAUUUAGCCUACUAUCAUUAUCAGUCAGUUACAUGCACUGCUCAAGGCUGCUGUAAAUUUAGGUGGCUGAACAUGUCCCGGGAUUGAUUCCGGGAUUGAUCCCGGGUCGGGGACCUAGUAACAUUGCCGGGUUCAGUCCCGGAACGAGCACUGUGUGAAAAAAAGCCAGAACUAAUGCCGUGUCGUAGUGAUGACGCGCCAUCCUCCAGUUGUUGGUGAUGUUGAAUGAUGUGCUCAAAUGACAUUGCAGUCGGCCGGCUCAGUCACUUUAGAGUUCCUACUGGUGGUGUGACAAUUUAGUCCUCGCGGGACCACCCUGGUGGCUACUUUUUUGAGUUUCUACAACUACCCGCUGUGUAGCUUUUAGGAAUUUUACAGAAUGUGAUUGACUUCAGUUACCUGAUCAAAUACAGACUGUAUCAAUUUCCAUUCCUGUAUGCUUUUACACGUACAGGACAAUUUGAGAGUCACCUGGUUGGGGAUUUGAUGAGUGACAGAUGUUUUUUUUUUUUUUUGUACUUUUCAUUUUCGCACACUGGAAAUUCACACCUAUUAUAUAAUGUCCUCGUGGCACACAGCCACAGAAAUAAUGGAAUUCUAUAUUUAAUUUUUUUUCUGUGUAUGUAUGUUUAUCUGAAAAUGUUUUAUAUAACAUUUAACAUUUGUUAAACAUUUGUUAAUAAAUGUUAACAUGUAUAACAUUUGUCUUAAAGGGUCCGACAUGUUCAUGAAUAUGUUUUUUUCUUUUUCUUUUUAAAUUAGCAACAGUUACUGAAAGCGUGAUGGGGAAGGAACAGAGAAAAAUAUAUGUGCUGAAAUUUAGGAAGUAGAUACACUACCGUUCUAAAG